rnacentral:misc_RNA from 1 species
GAUGAAGAACGCAGCGAAAUGCGAUAAGUAAUGUGAAUUGCAGAAUUCAGCGAAUCAUCGAAUCUUUGAACGCACAUUGCGCCCUCUGGUAUUCCGGGGGGCAUGCCUGUUCGAGCGUCAUUAUAACCACUCAAGCUCUCGCUUGGUAUUGGGGCUCGCGGUUCCGCGGCCCCUAAAAUCAGUGGCGGUGCCUGUCGGCUCUACGCGUAGUAAUACUCCUCGCGAUUGAGUCCGGUAGGUCUACUUGCCAGCAACCCCCAAUUUUUACAGGUUGACCUCGGAUCAGGUAGGGAUACCCGCUGAACUUAAGCAUAUCAAUAAGCGGAGGA